GAUAUGACUGAGAAAACAACAAAUUGAUGAGUAAAAAAAUGUUAAUUGGUGGAAAAGCACUAAGAAAGAUAAAUUGUACUGGACAAGUGAUCAACAGUGCGUUAAAUCUUGAUUUCACUUGAAAUCACUGAGGAGUGCCACAUUGUGUGGAGUAUCAGGUUUCAUACAUGUGUGUGCCAAAAGUAGAGUAUGGCACUCCACUUGUUGUUCAUUUGUUUACAAAAGAGGGCAAAAGGUUGAGCAAGAAAAGGAAGGAGAAUGUGGAAAUGAUGUUGAUCAAAUGGCAGUUAAUAAAGGAAGAUGAUAGAAACACAAUAACCAAAGAGGUAGGGAAAAUAAAAAGUAUGAACAUAUAUUUCAGUGUGUGCAAUCUUUGUUGCAGGGAUCAGUGAGAAGCAUAAACUGGAAUUUAAAAAAAAGUUGUUUAAGUAUUUAAUUUUUAUAAAGUUAUUUUACUUUUUCAAAGCUUCCGCAUCUUCAUUUUGUAUGUAUUGUACACAGCUUUUUUGUUAACCUUUAUCUCAUGCAAUUUCAUUUCUUUAAAUCAAAUAAAUGUUUUUAAAAGAAAAAUAAUAACAUAUGUUCAUGGGCACAGUAUCACUUGGUGCUUCAACACUUUUUGAGGGCUCCAUAUUUGUGCUCACAGAACAGUCCUUUUGAGCUUCUAAUAAUCAGAGAUAUAAAAUAUUCUAUUUGUUCCAAAGAUUGAAAUUAGUGGAGUAUGUACAUUGUAUCUGUCACUUAAAGGAUAUUAGAGGGUCAAGUAAAGUUCCAAAUUGUUGGAAACCCAAUUCAAAGAGGAAAAAUAUAGUUAGUAUCGCUUGAGUGCAGUACAUUUCUUGCCAUGGAUUUUGGAUAUAUACUGUGUAUUGUAGGAAACGGAUUAUAUAUUUUUUAAUUGUUUUAUUUCAUAUCUAACACAUUUUGAGUUGUAUUUUUAUGUCACGGGUAUGUUCUUUUCAUCUUGAAGCUGUAAAAGCUGAGAGGGUAUGGCACGCUCAAGGCUCAUUCAGAUAUGACACGGUAAACCAACACGAUAACAAAACUCUCACUUCAAAGGGGGUGUAGCAUGACAAGACUACAUCUGUUUCCUGGGGCCAAUUGGGUAUAACACAACUAUGAACGACGCGACCGCAGUAUUCAUGUGCGUGCAACAUACGCAAAACUGAAGCGUGAGCAGAACUUCGGUCUGUUUCGCGAAUGCUAGCGCUCUCUGACCAUUAAUCAAGUCCAUUCGUUUACGUACAGUUGUCCAAAAUAAGUUGUAGAUGGUGUUAACCAGUAUUUGCCAUGCUACACCCCCUUUAAAAAAUUGUACAAUGAAUGACAUCUGAAUGCAACAAAUGACCUACGUGUAUUCACUUAGCCCCGUAUUAUGAUAUACAGAAAUUGGAAGCAUAUUACGCUUUCCUACUGUUUACUGCGACUCAUCUGAACAAGACUUUAUCGCUGGUGAAGACUUUAUUUCACACAACUGCUAAUAAAGAAGGUAUAUGUACUGGGGUAUUGUAAAAUGAUGUUUAUCCAAUGCACCUAUGGCAAUUCCUGUCCGAGGGACUUCAUGAUCGAGGAAGAAUGACUAUGUCAUGACCAAUCGGGUUUGUGAGUAAAUGUUUUAGUUGGAUGAAACAACGUACCUAUGACUCUUUCUUUAUGGGUUGUAUUGUCAAUUUGAAAUUUAGCAGAGAAAAAAAGGGGGAGAAAAAUGCAUUUACAUGUUUUACAAGACUUGUAUCUAAAGCACCAUAAUAAAUAAUGUGUGCUGCAAUCAUACAGUACCACUGGCCAAAUAGUAUGUCAUCGUAAUGCUAAGAAGCUCUGCCUGACCUUGCGUUGAUCAGAAAUAUCAUUACACAAAACGCUGAAGUAUAUUGUACAUGUGUAUGUGCCUAGAAUGAGCAGAUCAGUGUGGAGGUGUUGUGGUCUAGUGGAUGAGUCUCCGGACGAUGAGCCACAAGAUACAGGAUUCAAAUCCAGCCGCGGCAAUAUUGUCCUUUGGGAAGACUUUAAUGUGCAUUUGCCACACUCGACCCAGGUGUAGUAAGUGGAUACCUGGUAGGAUAUAUAUAUAUUCCUUGAAUACACUGAGCGCUACAGUUGCCAGAGAUGAAGCCGGCGUAAUAAAUAAUAUUCAAAGCUCUGUGGAAGCCUGUGGAGACGUUAUAUCAUAAUGUGAAAUGCGCUACACAAGAACGGCAUAUUAUAAUUAUGAUUAUUAGUAACUAUAACUUAAAAUUGGUACAUUCUAUUUGAAAGUACAGAUACGUGGCCUUCACUUAUUAUCUCCAUCCAUUAUUUGAUAUGUUUUAAAACUGAAUGUGUGUUGAACUGUAUUUACCUGUCACAUUGAGUAGAUGAGGUGUACUAAAUGGAAUAAUAUCUGUUGAUAUUUGUUUAUUUCAUUACCAGUAAUUGUUUCAUAACUCUCUAUAUGCCAAAGAUGAAAUGUUAAGGACCAAGUAGUAGCAUUUAUGCAUGGUUUUUUAGGUAACAGUUAUAUUAUAAGAAGUUAUUAUUGGUAUACAUGACACAUAUUGAGUAGAUGAGGUGUACUAAAUGGAAUAAUAUCUGUUGAUAUUUGUUUAUUUCAUUACCGGUAAUCGAUUCAUAAAUCUCUUUGUGCCAAAGAUGGAAUGUUAAGGACCAAGUAGUAGCACUUGUGCAUGGUAUUUAGGUAACAGUUAUAUUAUAGGAAGUUAUUAUUGGUGUACAUGACACAAAACUUCCUUGCAGAGAAUGUUCAACAGGAACAUCAAAUCUAGUUUGUUGUAUGUAAAACCAUUUCUGUGCCUUUGAUUGUUUAACAUUUAGGUGAUAAAACCAUUACGAAUGCAUUCCAUUAGUACAUACUGUGUGCUCUUUAGCAAAAUGUUGAUUGACAAGUGCAAACGUCCGUUCAAGUAAUAUUGUUCUUGCUAACAAUUUUGAAAAAUGAAACUCGUUGGGAAGUUUCAGUACCCUAGCUAGCGUAUAUUCCAUUGAAAUCAUGUUCAGAUUACUUGAUGCAUCAUUGUAAUGUAUGUACGUUUCAACAGGUAAUGGCCGGGCUACUGAUAUAACCAUAGGUUGACUUUUUGAAAUCUUUGAGAUCUUGUGUAAUGUAGUUACCUGAAUCUCUUUUGGCUAAAAGGGAGAUAUACUUGGGUUAAUGGAGAAAAGAAAAGAAUUUAUAACAUUACUUUCACGUUUUAGAGAAUUUUAAAAAGUUUUUUCUACAUUGCUAAGCGUUGUAUUGAUUUCUAUUUACCCCCCCCCCCCCUCCCCUCUUUUGUUACAAUGCCGGAUCUGCAUUUGAUUGAGGUUAUUUGUAAAACUUAAAGUUGUAAAUGAGAAUAGAAAUCGUAAAAAACAUUGUAAAUGCUGUGUUCUUGUGGAAAAUUUGGGCCAUCUCUAGAGACCUUUCUUUGAAAUACAUUAGUCCAACUUAACGGGUAUAGAUUUUAGAAGGUCAUAUGAGUGGAAUGUGUGUUUUUGCCAAGUAUACUUUUGUUAAAAAUUAUAGAAAUACCUGAAUAAGGAUUUACAAGUGUAUUUUCAGCUCAAGCAUAUUUGAUAAGGCUGUUAUAUUUAGAGGCUGAAGCUGAUAUUGAGUUCAAAAUGUGAUAUAAUGUAAUCUUGGGACCUUUUCCUUACAACUCUAUUGAAUUUUUCACAGUCAUACGUUGGGAUGGAUAGAUUUAAACAAGUAGUUGGUAACAGGUAGCUAUAUUGUUAUGCAAGUAUUUUGUAAGAUCCAUGUAAAGCACAUUUUAUUUGUUUAUGAAUAGCAUAAUUUUGCAGAAAUAAAUUUAUUAUAAAGAAUGUUCAUACAAAUUUUCUUUAUAUUAAAUAUGACAAAUAUAAUUUUUGCAUUAUCCAGUUGAGAAAGAAGAAAUGCCUUGUGGUAUUUGAUUGUUACAAUGGAGCUUCCAAGCAGAAUGAUGCUGCAUUAAAAAAAAAAGAUGAUUUUCGUUUUGUGAGAGUCUUCUUUUGGAUUUUGAUACAAAUAAUGCAUAGCUGUCUCAACAUCCGUCCAUGCUAUGGCCUAGUACAUGUUUAUGUAUUUUUUUAAAUGUCAAUUGACAGUAUUCAAAUGUUAGUUUGUUAUUUUUUUAAAGUUAGAAUUUGUAAUAAAAUAUUAUAUUGCAGAUCAGAAAA